UUUUCAUAUAUGCUUAUCAAAAGUCCAGAUAAGCUGAGUACUUACAAGACAUCGAGAGACCCUGACAGCACAGCAAGAUCAGAUCACUACCAGUACAGCAAGAUCACAAAAGGGCUGAGAGAAGUCUUUCAGCCAUGCAGAGAACUUCUUUAAUUUCCCUGAGUUGAUCAGUUGGAGGAAGAUGAAAGACAAGAACAUCUGGAGAAGAUUCAACUAAAAAACACAGUUGUCGGGGGGAGAUGAGUUUUCAUCCAAUUUACUAAAGUUUACAGAAUCACUUCAAUUUCGAAGUGCAGACAUCCAUUCCCACUGAUACCUGGUGGAGAUGCCUAA
rnacentral:lncRNA from 1 species